GAAGGUAUAGCUAAGUUGUAGAGUGUGUGCUUAGCAUGCACGAGGUCCUGGGUUCAAUGGCUGGUACCUUCA
rnacentral:tRNA from 1 species